rnacentral:misc_RNA from 1 species
GAUGAAGAACGUAGCGAAAUGCGAUAAGUAGUGUGAAUUGCAGAAUUCAGUGAAUCAUCGAAUCUUUGAACGCACAUUGCGCCCUAUAGUAUUCUGUAGGGCAUGCAUGUUCGAGCGUCAUUUGUACCUUCAAGCUUUGCUUGGUGUUGGGUGUUUGUCCUCUCCCUGGUGUUUGGACUCGCCCUAAAACAAUUGGCAGCCAGUGUUUUGGUAUUGAAGCGCAGCACAAUUUGCGAUUCUGGCCUUAAAAUACUAGCGUCCAUAAGUACAUUCUCACUUUUGACCUCGGAUCAUGUAGGGAUACCCGCUGAACUUAAGCAUAUCAAUAAGCGGAGGA